rnacentral:misc_RNA from 1 species
CACCGAGUUCGCACGAGAGAUCGCACGUAGAGAAAGGCGGACGAUUAUACUUUCAACCGAAGAUUGCAACUUGCAAUCUCCACGCUGAAUAAUUGAGUCGGAGCCGGUCAUGGGGUAUGUCGCGUAAUCGAAAGUUCAUCGUAAUUCAAUUCGGAUAACGCAGUUCGCGGAAGUGGGAACCGCUUUAAUCCAGGAUUCCAAGCUAUUUACGGCGGGACAAGUGGGCUCCCCCGUUUACGAAGCUGAGCAAAGCUGCACGACCGGAGCAGCUUCGACAGUUGUUGAUCGGUGCGCGAUGUAAAACGAAGAGAAGAACGAAAAAGGCGAUCCGACCCCCCAUUUUAUUUGGGGGCUGGAAGGUCUAUAGAUAGAACGAUAACGUCGCUACGAAUGCAGCGGGGAAUAUUAUCCGGGUUAUUUUUAACCCCCCC